rnacentral:rRNA from 1 species
AAAUGAAUUGACGGGGGCCCGCACAAGCAGUGGAGCAUGUGGUUUAAUUCGACGCGACCCGAAGAACCUUACCAGGUCUUGACAUCUACUUAAGGCCUUAGAGAUGAGGCCGUGCCUUCGGGAAAAGUAAGACAGGUGGUGCAUGGUUGUCGUCAGCUCGUGUCGUGAGAUGUUGGGUUAAGUCCCGCAACGAGCGCAACCCUUGAUGUUGGUUGCCAGCAGGUAAAGCUGGGCACUCCAGCGUGACUGCCGUAGAGAAUACGGAGGAAGGCGGGGAUGACGUCAAAUCAUCAUGCCCUAUAUGACCUGGGCUACACACGUGCUACAAUGGGGUGAACAACGGGAGGCGAGCCUGCGAAGGUAAGCGGAACCCUAAAAACACCUCUCAGUUCGGAUUGCAGGCUGCAACUCGCCUGCAUGAAGUCGGAAUUGCUAGUAAUCGCGGAUCAGCAAGCCGCGGUGAAUACGUUCCCGGGCCUUGUACACACCGCCCGU